UACAGCAGGGUUCGCCACCACCUACUGCGGGAGAUUCGUGGAGCUUUAAGUGUUUUCGCUCAUUAAGCACUCGCAACGUCCGGUCUGGGAAUCGAAACUGCGAUCUUAUGACCACGAGUGCGCUACCCUAACCACUCGGUGAUUGCGCCUCCAUAUAUAUAUAUAAAUCACAAUCAUUGUCAAUGAA